UGCAGAGAGAAUAAAAGAGUUGGCAAUAGAAACCUCAGCACGCUCCCUCCAGCUCCAUCCAGGAGAUCACGGGAUCGGGGCAUCCCUGUCCCUGUGGGAAGGCGCUGGCCAGUGUGGAGGUGGAAGGAGCGUUGAGACAACAGAACUCUGCAAGCUGAGAACCUGUUGGCAACAGAGUUCUUCUAUAGCUGGAUGCAUCAGGCCGUGUUAGCCUCACAACCUGAAGAUCUGAUUUCCCUGCCCUUGCUUUCCCCCACAGGUUCAGUGUCCACCAGCAGCCUUUGGGACGUGUCUGCCUUCUAUGGGGCACCACGUUGGAGCGGUUCAGUGCCAGACUCUGCUCACGCCAGGUGGCUUCCUGGAAUCUAUGAAUGAUCCCCCAAAGACAACUCAACUGACUCAGAGAGUUAACUCUGAUGGUGUCGAUGAUGUAACUAAUAACCCCUAUGCAUGCACUGGCUGAACUUCAGAGCUGUAUUCAACACAUCCUUUUGAGCAGUCCUUCUGGAAGCUGGCCCCCUGUCUGGGCUACCGCUCUGAGAGCAACAGAAGAGUGAAAUUUCACUUGGAAGUGACACGGACUGCUUUUUCCAGAAGAAGCCAACUGCACGAUGCUUAAGGAAGAAAUAGCUGCCGCUCCCGAUCCCUUUACUUUGAAUAUGAAUCAGGCAAUGUCUGAAGAGGAGAAAAAAUCAGAUCAGAGGAUUUUAGACUUUUUUCAGACCGACUCUCAUGAAUACCCGGACUCUCCGAAUUUUGGUGAAUUUCCUGGUUCAGCUCAGAGCUACUGAAUCAGCAGAUAUUCUCAGAGUCAGACCCUAGUGGACAUUAAUAUGUGAAAUAAGGUCUGGUGCCAGGUAUUUUCUGAUGCUCAACAGGAUUUGUACAAUAGAUGAAUGGAGGAAUAUUCACACUCAACAAUUUGUUUCUGUCCUUACCUCUUUCUCUUCUUUCUUCCCCUGUUUCCUUUCUGACUCUUUUUUUUUUCUUUCUGCUUCAUUCAUGCAUUCAAUGGCCCUGCUGGGCUUGACAGAUUACUGACCCUCUAAAGUCCAAUGAUUUGGUAUCAGAUCUAAUUUCCCCCUUUUCUCUACCAUUUAAAGAAGCGUGUUGUAAUUUCCCCAGCAGAAGUGAAAGUGAUCAGGUCUACUGACAUGUCUGCACAGGUACAAGAAUGACAGGGCCAGGAGCAAGAGAAGAGGAAGAGGGGACUUUUGAGGGGCUGACAGCGAACCUCACAUACCACCCAGGGGAAGGAAAUGAAAACUUGCAUUCCAAGGCAAUUUUACCAUUGAUUAUAAUUCUUUGCCAUGAAGCAGGUGCCAGAAACAAAUUCUUCCUUUUAAUUAGUAUACAUUAAUUUUAAUAACUGGAGCUUACUUCCUCCUUUGCCUGAGGAGGAGCUAUAUAAGGAGGCACAAUUUGUAGUUAAUUUGAAGAUGAAUAAAAUAUUAACAUGGCUUUUGUUUCCCCUAAAACACAAUACCUAAAUUAGCACAAUGCCCUGAUUACCAUCCUACACCUGCAUUUAGAUUGCAAAUGAGCUCAGGGUUCAGCACAGUUGUUUGGGCUGAGCAAGUGAGAGCUGUAUUAGGUGGCCAUAUUGAUACUGAGGAUGGUGUCCCAUUUCAAGAACACCCACAGCAGAACCCAUCAUCUUGGCUUUGGCCCCAAUCAGAAGGUUUUCAUCCAGUGCAUUUGGUCCUAAUCACAGCAGAAUCUUUCAGAUGGAUUUGUUCCCAGAAAACUUGCUUGACAGAGGUCAGAUGGCAGAAGUUGCAAAAAUGUCAUUGUUUUACAUUAACUAUCUGUGGAAAUUACGCCUAGAAACUGUUGUUGUGUUUUUAUCCCAUUAGCUGGCCUGUGCAGGGUAACAGCCAGGUUAAACUGUUGCCAUGCUGGCAAGGACCAUUUUACUGUACAUUUGUAAUUGUUAUAAAAAAAGUACUAUGAAGUAAAAAUCACCAGAAUUAAUAGUGAUGUUUUGCUUAAGAAGGAGAAAAAAGAUGAGUAAUGCAUUAAGAACAAAGGAAGAAA